UCAUUUCACUAGCUGUUUAUUGCUCUGUAGGCAUAUAAAUACAAAAGGACAGUAAGAUAAUGAUUUUAACAAGAAACAUGACGAGAAAACAGUCUAACAUAAAAUGUAAGAAUCAAACCCUUGGCUGUUUUCUUCACAGUUUUCUCCACUGUGUAAACAACAGGGAUUUACCUCAGUUACACUUUCACAUGGACCUAUUUAUUUUGCACAAUUGAAUGAUUUGCCUCAAAAUAUUUUGGAUCAUUAUAUGCACAUGUGAAUAUGCAGAAUAAUGACAAUAAUAAAGUAGUCUAAAAUCUGUUAGGAUGCUCCUCCCAGUCUUAGCUGAUACUAUGUUUUAAAACCACAGUGCAACAAAUAGAAUUUAGUCCUAAAUAAAUACAUAAAAUAUAUGUGCAAGUAACAAAAAACAACAGAGUGGGAAACUCAAAGUUCAAGUCAAUGCACAUGAAUGUAUAAGUAGAACAAAACAUUCAGGUUCUACUCUAUCAGGCCAAAUAUUUCAUAUGAUGCGUAGAUUCUUCAGUAAUUUUAAUUUUAACCCUGCAAUGGAUUGAUCUGUUUGCUUUGAUUUUCUAUUUCAGAGAUAAAAAUAAGCAAGAAAGGAUAAUCUGCAGUAAUUCGUGCCUCUAGUAGGCUCCUGUGGGUGGGCCUUUCUUGUUUUAUUUGUUUUGUUCAUGUGGCCAGUCUAGCAGCAGCAGACCGCUUACAUAUAUUUGGCUGUUCGGAAGACCAGUCAUAGCCAUUCCUUAAUCAGAUAAUAGCAUACUAUUGACAUAUUAGACCAAUUUAAUACAUUUGUUUCCUUUAUCAAUUACAUUUCAUCUCAGAGGUCCAAUACAAUGGGAUUUUGAACCAUCUGUGCUGAGCACAAUUGAAGGGCCAGUAAUCCAAUUAUUUGAUUUUCUUCCUGAAGAGACCAGAAGAGAGGAAAAGCCAUCUUUCCCUCGCUCCAGUGAGUAAGCUGUAGGCCUGCAUAAGGCUUUAAGCUUCCUGUGUAAAACACACCUCAAGGGCAACAGAAGGCCACUUAAAUG
rnacentral:lncRNA from 1 species